rnacentral:misc_RNA from 1 species
CCCUUGUGGAGGAGGACGCCGAAGGUGGGGCUAAUGACUGGGGUGAAGUCGUAACAAGGUAGCCGUACCGGAAGGUGCGGCUGGAUCACCUCCUAACAGGGAGACAACAAAAUGUUAAAUAUCAAUUUUGUCACCUUAGGUCGAUCGGUAUCUCACAUUCUUAAUUUAUUUAAGGAUUUUAUUUCCUAAGUUUUUUUCUAGGUCACACCCAUUAUUUUUCCUGGGCCAUUAGCUCAGGUGGUUAGAGCGCACCCCUGAUAAGGGUGAGGUCCCUGGUUCAAGUCCAGGAUGGCCCAUAUCUCUAUGUUGGGGGUAUAGCUCAGUUGGUAGAGCGCCUGCUUUGCAAGCAGGAUGUCAGCGGUUCGAGUCCGCUUACCUCCACUGAUUACCACCUCUUCCAUAAUUUAUAGAAGGGAAAUUUAUUGAGUUGUGAUCAAAUUCUGAACGAAUCUAGCUUCCUAAUAAGCUAUUAAGAUGCUGGACUCAUUGAAUUAAUUUUCAUUGUUUUCAGAGAACCUUGACAACUGCAUAGAUUAUUUUUAAAGACAAUAAGCAUCUUUAAUGAUGCAGAUUUAUUAUUUGUGCGAAUGCAUUAAUAACAAUUCUAUUAAGCUGAUGCUUCAAUUUUUGAAGUUAUUGGUCAAGCUACAAAGGGCUCACGGA